UCUCCCCUGUUCCACGUCCACGUUUGACCCCGGAUCCCAUCUUUCCCGUGAUCAACUUCAUCCCAGAACAAACUUCCUCCUCUUCCGGAUUCCUCCCAUCCGCGUGUCUUCCCUCUUCCGAACCAAGCCAUCAGCUUCAUCCGCAUCCCCUGUUUCACGCUCAAUCCAUUCAUGACCAGCCGUUCCCCAGCUUCACGAAAGUUUCAUCUAAACUGCCAGCCGAAUCCCAUGAUUUUUUCCCACGCGUCUGGUUCACUUCCCCUGUUCCCAGCUGUCAGCCGAGACCCCAAACUUCUCUCUAUUUCGGAACCAACUCCCAUCCCGCUUGUGAUUCCCUGCAUCCCAAAGCAGAAUCCCAUGAUCCACGGGAUGAACCCAAAUCCAAUUCUUCCAGCAUCUCCUCUCAGCCGAGAACACCACCCCCUGAUCCCAGCCUCAAAACAGAUUUCAUCCUUAUUCCACGGAUCUCCCAGCUCAUCCCCUGCUCACAGAUCCAACCAACUAGCCGACUUCAUCCCAUCCUAGCUCCCAUUCGUCCUCGUCACCCCCUGCAGCCGAAGAUCAAACAACAGACUUCCGGAUCAAGUACCAGCUCACCUUCCUCUGCUUCGGAAUCAAAUCCCAACAGCAUACCAACUCUCGGAUCAGCUCCAAAUCUCAGCGAAGUCAGCACCCAUGACGCAUCCGAGUAAUCCGCGAUUCAACUCCAUCCGCAAGAGAGCUUUGUGAGGCUAUAAAAGGAG
rnacentral:lncRNA from 1 species